rnacentral:lncRNA from 1 species
AGAAAAUGGGCCCUCUUGGCCGUCGGGACUUGUACUGUUGGUGACUCCGUCUCCUUAGACGGUGGAGCCUGCGUGACCCAGAAAGGCCGUGAGUCUUGACACUGUAUUUUUGCAUAUGUGCGCACAUGUGCCGAUUUACAUUCACAUGCCCCAUAAGCCCUGUCCCAUUUGUCCUUCCUCUAAGCCGUCCUCUUACCCAGUUCCCCUCUCACACCUGAGAAGCAUUUCUCCGCAGGAGUCACAUUUAUAGCAUUAUUUUUUUCUUCGAACUAAAAACAUAACUCCUAUUUUCUCGGGUAGUUUUUGUAGGGAGGUCGAAAUAGAAACACUUCAGCCCCUCUUCGGCGAGGGAGGUUAGUUGGUAAGGUGCCCAUUGUUCACCCAUGGAAACAGGCCUGCCAAGGGCCGCCCCGCAGACAGGUGAGCCCGCGCCCCCGUCCUGGGCGGACUGCGACAUGCGGCGGGUGUCUGGAUUGCGUGGCUCCUCGGGCCUCCUCGCAGUGCUUGCUCUCUUCCGUUCUAGCACUUGCCUCGGUGACCUGGCAGGACGUGCGGUUCUUGAGAUGAGUGGAGAAACGGACUCCCAGGUCCCUCUCGUUCUUCCAACACAGGGACAGCUAGAGCUGCUCCAAAAAUAUACCCUACUUCUUCCA